rnacentral:rRNA from 1 species
CUUACACAUNAAGUGAACGCUGAAGCCCUGGUGCUUGCACCGGGGUGGAUGAGUGGCGAACGGGUGAGUAACACGUGAGUAACCUGCCCCCGACUUCGGGAUAAGCCCGGGAAACUGGGUCUAAUACCGGAUAUGACGACCGAAGGCAUCUUUGGUUGUGGAAAGUUUUUUCGGUUGGGGAUGGGCUCGCGGCCUAUCAGUUUGUUGGUGAGGUAAUGGCUCACCAAGACGACGACGGGUAGCCGGCCUGAGAGGGCGACCGGCCACACUGGACUGAGACACGGCCCAGACUCCUACGGGAGGCGGCAGUGGGGAAUAUUGCACAAUGGGCGAAAGCCUGAUGCAGCGACGCCGCGUGGGGGAUGACGGCCUUCGGGUUGUAAACCUCUUUCAGCAGGGA